GGCGUUGCUAAUGGCGUUAGUGGCACUGCCGCUCCUCAUGGUGCCCGACAUGCUCUCUAUGCCAGGCUCCAACGGCGUGGAUCGCGGCGCCGCCCUGUCGCUCCCACGCCCGUGCUUCAGCAGAUCCGUGUUUGAGUCGUGCAUACCUUUAGCCGCCUCCCCUCCAAUGUCCACGACUCUGAUAUACCGUGUUUGUUAGUCUUGACUGGUGUUUGUUCUCCGUAUUGUUGUGCAGGAGGCUGGAGAACAGUAGGGAGAAAAGGGAGUCGUGGAUGGAGGUUCUGUACUUCUACUUGUCCUACAUGGCCGAGCGAGAUCGAGGCUAGCCGCCGGUAAUGUUCUUCUCCCGUGCAAGUUCCGCACUGCAUUGAAGCAUCCAACACAUGAUGUAGCUACGUUACAGGUGGGACAUCAGCCAAGUAUGUUUCGAGGUGAGACAUCCAUCAAGUUUGUUUGGAGAAAUUGUGCAGUCCAGCUCCUGCGUGCUGGUCACCGAGCUCCACUGUGUCCAGCUCAUCCGACCAUGUGCUCCACUGCAUCUAGUAACUGGGCGUAGGCACAUCCGUCUCGAUAAGAAUUAUGGGAACGGACAAAGGCAAGGCAUUCCAAUGUAAGAAAUGGAUGAAGGCAAGUGUGCAUCUUGUUUGUCCUCUCCACCAAGCAGCGUCGACUACUCCAUACAAGCACAUAAGCUUAUGCCCUUAUGAAGUUAUGAUUAUAUAUUUACCAAUGACUAUUAUGGUUGAUAGCUUUAAAGUCUUUGCUUCUAUAUGCAGCUGAGAAUGACUUAUAAGUUCAUGGCAAAAGCAGCAACAUCAGUACGUAACCACAAGCAAGCUGAGGGGGUAAUAAUCUUGGUAUUUAAGUCUUAGAUUCAGUAUUUUGCUUUUUGGAUACAUGAACAUUGAAACUUGUUUAGCAUUUUGUUUCUUAUAUGCUUCAUGCCAAUAAAACUGCAGUAAAAUAUGAGCCGAGAUUUUGCUUGGCAUGUGUAUGUAUGCAUGCCCUGAAUUUGCUUAGCAUUUUUAUGCAUACAACUAUUGGAAGCUUUUACAUGUCCUGGAACUGAGCUUUUGCAUGCCCUGUGUUUUCUGAAGCUGAGUCUUUUGUUAUUGGCUAGUACUUGAAACAGAGUCGCAGGCCUCCUGCCAUAUAACCAUUUAUGAAGUGCAUAUGUGAUGCCUUAUCUUGUAUUCCUACAAAGAGUCCAGUAUUGUUUUCAUGUGUAAAAAGUGGCUGACCUGGCAUUACACUGUUAAGUGUUUUGUACGCAUUAUGAAUCUUGUUGUAGAUACACACUGAGCUGAAAAUGUUGCUAGCAGAAAUAGGUUUUCUGUUAGCUACGCAUCUAGUUUAAAACAUGGUAUGACUACUUGCUUUGGAAUAGUAACGCCUUGAUAUUAUCUGAUCCUAUCUCAUGCAUAUUUUAGUUAUUUCCAGACAAAGCUUUAGGAACCGAGUUCACUACAACUCGAAGUCUUGUGCAUGGAGGAGAAUUGAGAUAUUUGCGCAUUCUGUACUAGUCAAAAGGUUGGCAUCCUGGUUGGAAGAUCUUGUGUGCUACUCUCUACACGAUGUUCCUUCUACAUGAUAGCACUUGACGUCUACAUGAUAGCACUUGAAGUCUACAUGAUGUUUCUUGUAUUCAUAGCUCAAACCAUUUGUUUAGCUUAGUUUGAACAAAAAAUAUUAUUGUCUUACAUGUAAAUAAUGUUUACUAAUGUAGCUGGAUGCUACUGAACACAUGUACGAAAGUCAAAAUACUAAGUGUUAGUCAUUAUGUGUUUGAGAACUGC